rnacentral:rRNA from 1 species
ACGGAGGGAGCUAGCGUUGUUCGGAAUGACUGGGCGUAAAGGGCGCGUAGGCGGUUUUUUAAGUGAGGCGUGAAAGCCCUGGGCUUAACCCAGGAGGUGCGUUUCAUACUGGAAGACUUGAGUGCGAGAGAGGAAAGUGGAAUUCCUAGUGUAGAGGUGAAAUUCGUAGAUAUUAGGAAGAACACCUGUGGCGAAGGCGGCUUUCUGGCUCGCAACUGACGCUGAGGCGCGAAAGCGUGGGGAGCAAACAGG